AUUGAACGCUGGCGGCAUGCUUUACACAUGCAAGUCGAACGGCAGCGCGGGCUUCGGCCUGGCGGCGAGUGGCGAACGGGUGAGUAAUGCAUCGGAACGUGCCCAGUAGUGGGGGAUAGCCCGGCGAAAGCCGGAUUAAUACCGCAUACGACCUGAGGGUGAAAGCGGGGGACCGAAAGGCCUCGCGCUAUUGGAGCGGCCGAUGUCGGAUUAGCUAGUUGGUGGGGUAAAGGCUUACCAAGGCGACGAUCCGUAGCUGGUCUGAGAGGACGACCAGCCACACUGGGACUGAGACACGGACCAGACUCCUACGGGAGGCAGCAGUGGGGAAUGUUGGACAAUGGGGGCAACCCUGAUCCAGCCAUGCCGCGUGCGAGAAGAAGGCCUUCGGGUUGUAAACCGCUUUUGUUCGGGAAGAAAUCCUCUGGGCUAAUACCCCGGGGGGAUGACGGUACCGGAAGAAUAAGCACCGGCUAACUACGUG
rnacentral:rRNA from 1 species